rnacentral:tmRNA from 1 species
GGGGGCGAUCGGUUUCGACAGNAUAAGAGCUGUAAUGGAUUGCGCGCGGAGGAUAAUAGCAAUCUCCUAAAUCAGUUAUUACAAACAUAGUUGCCGAUCACGGCUACAUGGCUGCAGCUUAGCUAGCAGUCCGUUUCUGUUCAAAUAUGCCAGCGGUUUGAACANGAAACGUCAAUUACGCAGGCUGGUCUUUAAUAUGCCUAAAUAUUAAGGACGAGAACAAUUNAGGCUCGCUCUANUGAAUUUUUGUCUUAUGUUAUAAUUAGAGUAAAAACUUAACCUUUGACUAUGCGUGUAGACGUNUGUUAUAAUUUUAUUUUGGACGGGAGUUCGAUUCUCCCCGCCUCCACUU